GAUCAUGGCUCACGAUGAACGCUGGCGGUCUGCUUAACACAUGCACAGUCCGAACGAACCUCUUCCGGACUCUAGGUGGCGGACGGGUGAGUAACACGUUGAGAAUCUGCCUUCAGGUACGGGGAUAACAGUUGGAAACGACUGCUAAUACCGGAUGUGCCCAAGGGUGAAAGAUUUAUUGCCAGAAGAGGAGCUCGCGUCUGAUUAGCUAGUUGGUCAGGGUAAAAGCCUACCAAGGCGUCGAUCAGUAGCUGGUCUGAGAGGACGAGCAGCCACACUGGGACUGAGACACGGCCCAGACUCCUACGGGAGGCAGCAGUGGGGAAUUUUCCGCAAUGGGCGCAAGCCUGACGGAGCAAGACCGCGUGGGGGAGGAAAGCCUCUUAGGGUCGUAAACCCCUUUAUGUCAGGGAAGAAACCCUUGACGGUACCUGACGAAUCAGCCUCGGCUAACUCCGUGCCAG
rnacentral:rRNA from 1 species